rnacentral:lncRNA from 1 species
UUAGAGUCUUUUGGGCUCUUCUCUUUAAAUGAAUUAUGGGCUAUUUUUUAUUGUCUUUAUUUAGGCUACUUUAUCUAGUCCCACGUUUUUAUUUGACUUGAGCCCUAGCUAAACAGAACUUGGAAACAUUCAUAGUUCGUGGGGUGCCAACGUCUCUUUCUGUUCUUUGGUGCUCCAUUUUUUCUGCUAGAUAGGAACGCCUCUUGCUUAUUUAUUUGGUUCCAGAGUUUGGGGAUAGAUGAGAUUAACCAUUGCCUUCUUUCUUGCACACUUUGCUUGAUCGUUGUGUUAACCUUGGGGAACGAUUGGCCUGCGGGACUAGCACAAUUGAG